rnacentral:rRNA from 1 species
UACGAAGGGGGCUAGCGUUGUUCGGAAUCACUGGGCGUAAAGCGCACGUAGGCGGAUUUGUAAGUCAGGGGUGAAAUCCCGGGGCUCAACCCCGGAACUGCCUUUGAUACUGCGAAUCUCGAGUCCGAUAGAGGUGGGUGGAAUUCCUAGUGUAGAGGUGAAAUUCGUAGAUAUUAGGAAGAACACCGGUGGCGAAGGCGGCCCACUGGAUCGGUACUGACGCUGAGGUGCGAAAGCGUGGGGAGCAAACAGG